rnacentral:tRNA from 1 species
GCUGGGCUCAGUGGUAGUGUACUUGCCUGAUAUGUGUGAGAAACUGGGUUCAAUUCUCAGCACAGCA